CACGUAGGGCGCAAGCGUUGUCCGGAAUUAUUGGGCGUAAAGAGCUCGUAGGUGGUCUGUUGCGUCCGCUGUGAAAACUCGGGGCUUAACCCCGAGCCUGCAGUGGAUACGGGCGGACUAGAGGUAGGUAGGGGAGAAUGGAAUUCCUGGUGUAGCGGUGAAAUGCGCAGAUAUCAGGAGGAACACCGGUGGCGAAGGCGGUUCUCUUGGCCUUACCUGACACUGAGGAGCGAAAGCGUGGGGAGCGAACAGG
rnacentral:rRNA from 1 species